GCCCGGAUGGUCUAGUGGUAUGAUUCUCGCUUUGGGCCGCAAACCGAAAUGCGAGAGGCCCCGCGUUCGAAUCGCGGUUCGGGCC